rnacentral:rRNA from 1 species
UGGAAGUAAAAGUCGUAACAAGGUUUCCGUAGGUGAACCUGCGGAAGGAUCAUUAACAAUUUAUGGGAUGUUCUACAGGACUCCCAAGUAAAACACAUUCCUGUGUGUUCUACUUUUUCUUUUUUUUAAGCUCUAUAUCAAUUUCUUGUCUGAGAAGGCAAUAUGCCAUAACCUUGAAAAAUGUUAAAACUUUCAACAACGGAUCUCUUGGCUCUCGCAUCGAUGAAGAACGCAGCGAAAUGCGAUAAGUAAUGUGAAUUGCAGAAUUCAGUGAAUCAUCGAAUCUUUGAACGCACAUUGCACCCUUUGGUAUUCCUUAGGGCAUGCCUGUUCGAGCGUCACUAACAAUAAUUUCACUGAUAAAUGUGGUAUUGGCCAAUGUGACUCUAGCACUUUGCUGUGCUGGUCUCACUAGGCUGAAAUGGAUAGGCCAGAGAAAGUACAACUUGGCAACAGACUCUCAGAGUGUUUUUGAACGCUAAACUAGUCUUGUCACAUGUUGAAAUCUGCGCUUAAGGACCCCCCUUUCAGUCCAAACUGAAGAUGUUGACCUCGGAUCAGGUAGGGAUACCCGCUGAACUUAAGCAUAUCAAUAAGCGGAGG